UAAAUACCCCCUCCGUCUGAAAAUUUUUGUCGGAGAAAUUGAUAAAAAUAGAUGUAUCUAGAACUAAAAUAUGUCUAGAUGCAUCCAUUUCUUCGACGAGUAUUUUCGGACGGAGGGAGUAGUAU
rfam:Triticum urartu cultivar G1812 contig51397, whole genome shotgun sequence.